rnacentral:rRNA from 1 species
AACGAACGCUGGCGGCAUGCCUAAUAUAUGCAAGUCGAACGAGAUCUUCGGAUCUAGUGGCGCACGGGUGCGUAACGCGUGGGAAUCUGCCCUUGGGUUCGGAAUAACAGUUGGAAACGACUGCUAAUACCGGAUGAUGACGUAAGUCCAAAGAUUUAUCGCCCAGGGAUGAGCCCGCGUAGGAUUAGCUAGUUGGUGAG